UACGGAGGGUGCAAGCGUUAUCCGGAUUCACUGGGUUUAAAGGGUGCGUAGGAGGACAGGUAAGUCAGUGGUGAAAUCUCCGAGCUUAACUUGGAAACUGCCGUUGAUACUAUCUGCCUUGAAUAUUGUGGAGGUGAGCGGAAUAUGUCAUGUAGCGGUGAAAUGCUUAGAUAUGACAUAGAACACCAAUUGCGAAGGCAGCUCACUACACAAUCAUUGACUCUGAGGCACGAAAGCGUGGGGAUCAAACAGG
rnacentral:rRNA from 1 species